rnacentral:misc_RNA from 1 species
GAAAUGCGAUAAGUAGUGUGAAUUGCAGAAUUCAGUGAAUCAUCGAAUCUUUGAACGCACAUUGCGCCCCUUGGUAUUCCAUGGGGCAUGCCUGUUCGAGCAUCAUUUGUACCCUCAAGCUCUGCUUGGUGUUGGGUGUUUGUCCCCGUCUCCGCGCGUGGACUCGCCCCAAAGUGAUUGGCAGCCGGCGUACUGGUCCCGGAGCGCAGCACAUGUCGCGCAAACGAGUGCCUUGGUACGGCGGCGUCCAUAAGCCCCUCUCUCACGCUCUUGACCUCGGAUCAGGUAGGGAUACCCGCUGAACUUAAGC